GACGAACGCUGGCGGCGUGCUUAACACAUGCAAGUCGAACGGAAAGGCCUCUUUCGGGGGGUACUCGAGUGGCGAACGGGUGAGUAACACGUGAGUAACCUGCCCUUUACUUUGGGAUAACUUCAGGAAACUGGGGCUAAUACCGGAUAGGAGCUCCGGCUUCAUGGUGGGGGUUGGGAAUUUUCGGCGGUUGGGGGUGGGCUCGCGGCGUAUCAGGUUGUUGGUGGGGUAGUGGCUUACCAAGGCUUUGACGGGUAGCCGGCCUGAGGGGGUGACCGGCCACAUUGGGACUGAGGUACGGCACAAACUCCUACGGGAGGCAGCAGUGGGGAAUAUUGCACAAUGGGUGGAAGCCUGAUGCAGCAACGCCGUGUGCGGGAUGACGGCCUUCGGGUUGUAAACCGCUUUCGCUCAUGACGAAGCUUUGUGUGACGGUAGUGGGGAAAGAAGCACCGGCUAACUACGU
rnacentral:rRNA from 1 species